GAUGAACGCUGGCGGCGUGCCUAAUACAUGCAAGUCGAGCGAAUGGAUUAAGAGCUUGCUCUUAUGAAGUUAGCGACGGACGGGUGAGUAACACGUGGGUAACCUGCCCAUAAGACUGGGAUAACUCCGGGAAACCGGGGCUAAUACCGGAUAACAUUUUGAACCGCAUGGUUCGAAAUUGAGAGGCGGCUUCGGCUGUCACUUAUGGAUGGACCCGCGUCGCAUUAGCUAGUUGGUGAGGUAACAGCUCACCAAGGCAACGAUGCGUAGCCGACCUGAGAGGGUGAUCGGCCACACUGGGACUGAGACACGGCCCAGACUCCUACGGGAGGCAGCAGUAGGGAAUCUUCCGCAAUGGACGAAAGUCUGACGGAGCAACGCCGCGUGAGUGAUGAAGGCUUUCGGGUCGUAAAACUCUGUUGUUAGGGAAGAACAAGUGCUAGUUGAAUAAGCUGGCACCUUGACGGUACCUAACCAGAAAGCCACGGCUAACUACGUGCCAGCCGCCGCCGUAA
rnacentral:rRNA from 1 species